AACGUAGGUGGCGAGCGUUAUCCGGAUUUACUGGGCGUAAAGGGUGUGCAGGCGGGCUGUUAAGUGGUGUAUGAAAUAUCCCGGCUCAACCGGGAAGGGUUAUGCCAGACUGGCAGUCUAGAGAGCGAGAGAGGGACGUGGAAUUCCGGGUGUAGCGGUGAAAUGCGUAGAUAUCUGGAGGAACACCGGUGGCGAAGGCGGCAUCCUGGACCGAUACUGACGCUGAGGAGCGAAAGCCAGGGGGAGCAAACGGG
rnacentral:rRNA from 1 species